AUUUUCUCCUCUGUGGAAGCUUCAUCUUGGGAGCCAUUUGCACAGGUAGGACUAGCACGAAACUUUGGAGAGCAAAUGUGAGGGAGAAAUGAAGGGUUUUUAGUGGAAAGAUAAGGAUUUUGGAGAAGUGGAGUGCCGAUUUGGAGAAGAUGGGUUGAGUCUAGGGUAGGCUCGAAUCGUUCCAAAUGAAGAAGGAGAAGGAGAGGAACUUGGUUCUAGGAGGGCGACUU
rnacentral:lncRNA from 1 species